CGGAGGGACCAUAGGACCACAGUAGUCCUAGGCCCAUCCUGCUUUUGUUUAUAACUAAAAAUUAGUACUACUUAUUAUUUUAUUAUUUUCAGUUAAAUCAUUCAUAUUUCCUAGACAAACUAUCCGGCCCUUUUUAAAUAUUUUAAGAAUAUCCGGCCCUCUUUAAAUAACCCUAAAGCCUACCUAUAACCUAUUCCAACUUCCAACACUUCAUCUUCCAUUCAUUUUCCCAAUACUAAAAAUUAGUAUUUUAUUAUUCUCUAAUUCUAGCCGACUGUUGCUCUCUGCUAGUUUGAAAAAAUAGUCAUAACACUUGAAACACCCCUACCCUCUUUUAUAUUUUAAAAUUGUUUUAAAGCCUUAAUUGGUGAGCCCGUGGGGCCCACCUUGUUUAUUUUUUUUAUGUUUUCUGAUCUCUCUCUUCUUCUUCUUCGUUUCUCCCUCCCGUAGCUCUCUCCUUCUCAACACUGCUUCUCUCAGUCUGAUCCCUCCCGUGGUACACAAGCCGUACAGUGUAUCAAUCUAUCAAGAAUUAAAGAAUUCAAUUAUUCCAUCAUUCCAUAAAAAAGACAUUGAAGUUUAGUUAAUUGGUCAACAACCCAAAUUAUGGAAAGAUAUUUCAAAAGAAAAACACAACCUGAGAUAUUAGAACCGUCUCCAAAGAGUCCAAAGAACAAUGCAACGGUUUCAAAAUAUGAAAACUCGUCGAGGACAAUUAUUUUAAUUAUUGGGAAUAUGUAAUAUUAUCAAUGCUAUGUUAUUUUGAAUUUUGGUUACUUUUCAUAUACAUACUAUGAUGUUUUGGUUAACAGUUUUGUAACUACUAUCGAUUUAAUUUUUUUUAAUAUUUGUGAGAGGCCCCUCCUAAUCCGAAAUCCUG